AAUUACGUUAAAUGUGUAUAUAGUUUCUAUUUAAGAGUAUAAAUUGAAAUAAAUUCUUGAAUUAAUACAAUUGCUUAAUCGAAAUUAAUUAUCAGAAAAACGCUUUGACGUUUUUCUCUUUUUAAGCAAAAUUAUUUUUGAAUAUUUGUAUUUAGUAAAUAGUUGAAUUAUUUUUAUUACAAAAUUGAAGUUUAAAUUCAUAGACGAAAAGCAUUUGGAUUAGAUUGAAACAUAACCUGACUUUGCUUGUGACUGUCCACGUUAGAAGUAAAUUUGUGUAUGUCGACUGGUUUGUGUCUCGGCUAUAACCAUACCAUAAUAAGACGUAGUGAGUGCAGCAAUGGCUCCUGAAUAUAUGUGUCUCAUUAUCACCAUCUUGACGAACCUAGACAAGCGCCAAUUUCUUAUAUCGCCAUUUGAAUUUGUCAUUGGCGCAAUUGCAGAAGAUAAUAGGGGGAUUGUUAGAGUUAGGUUUCAUGAUAGGAAGACGACUUAAGCUCGAUCACUUCGCUCGCAUAUCGGCUGGAGGAUAGCAGUUAUCGCGUUCAGUACAAAUUUAUUAGUUGAGUUUCUUUAGUUGAGUUAUAUUGAAUUGUGCUUUAGUUCAAAUUUUAUAAAGGUAAUUUAGGAAAAAGUGAAAAAUUGUGCAGUGUUCCUAAACGGUGAUUUUUUUGAUUUUUUGUGUUUUUAUAGCUUGAGACGUAGUCUCUGCUUUUCUUACGCGAACGCUAUCAGUGAUUUCGCAGUUUAUCGUACAAAAAAGCGCAUGGGCGCUUUUUUGGUACGGGCUGGAGUUUAAAGAUUUCGACAAGCGGAGUCGUUUUUCGGGGUAAUCGUGAAACCGUCCAAGCCACCGUCUUCAAGUGAAGGAGCUCGUGCAUCCGCUAAGGCCCGCCUCACAAAGGCAGUCAAACGGGGGAAGUGUAGAUCGCCUGCAAGUCGAGCGAUAAUCUCCAACGGUCGCCAAUCAACCGUUGUGUACGAUCCACCCACCGUUACAACCCCUGUGGAUCGGGAGUUAAGGAGAGCUCGGAUUGGGUUCACGUCGCCAAAAGCGUGUCCCUUUCCGCACAGUCCGAAGGUCGGCGCUAUUCCUCGCUCGGUCAUAACGGAAAGGUACGUGAAGCCGGGUCGUUGGGUCUAGUGUCGGUCCGGAAGACAGUCCCGGGAACCCCGCGACCAAUUGUCGACGGGAAGCUCUCCUCUGAAGAAAAUCGGAAGGCCUCCGUCCAGCCGCCACUUCCCACCGCAGCUUUAGAUCGGCCAUAUUAGCACGAGCUCAAGUUCGCUUCUCGCCGCCAUCGUGCGAGGAUCGCUGCUGGCAGAUCGCUAGCAAGGUUUCAUCUUCAACCAACAUUUUGCCGGCACCCCGCCGGAAAGCCAACGUAGCCAUCACCGUAGCAUCCGUCACUUCGAGUCAACGACACCGAAAAUCCUGCGCAGGUAUGUGGUAGUUCUAGUUCAUGGCCAUGAAUAGUUGUUUCCUUUCCCGCUACCAGAAAAAGUUCCGUCCAACCCGAAUGUAUUAAUUCAAUAAAACUGAUUAUUAAGUUGAA